rnacentral:rRNA from 1 species
GUUAAAAAGCUCGUAGUUGGAUCUCGGCGAACAGGGGGCGGUUCGUUAUUUGACGGUACUGCCCCAUUUGUUCGUAUUUUUGCAAGAGGAUUGGGGGUCCCCUUUGUUGGGUGUCUCCGGUCGCUUGCAGGUUUACUUUGAAAAAAUUAGAGUGCUCAAAGCAGGCUUACACGCUUGAAUAUUCGUGCAUGGAAUAAUAGAAUAGGAAGUCGUUUCUAUUUUGUUGGUUUUCGGAAAAUGACUUAAUGAUUAAUAGGGACAAUCGGGGGCAUUAGUAUUCAAACGACAGAGGUGAAAUUCUUGGACCGUUUGAAGACUAACUACUGCGAAAGCAUUUGCCAAGAGUGUUUUCAUUAAUCAAGAACGAAAGUUAGAGGUUCGAAGGCGAUCAGAUACCGCCCUAGUUCUAACCAUAAACGAUGCCAGCUAGCGAUCUGCGGGUGUGUAAAAACAAGACCCCGCAGGGAGCUUCCGGGAAACCAAAGCUUGUGGGUUCCGGGGGAAGUAUGGUUGCAAAGCUGAAACUUAAAGGAAUUGACGGAAGGGCACCACCAGGAGUGGAGCCUGCGGCUUAAUUUGACUCAACACGGGAAAUCUCACCAGGCCCGGACACCGGAAGGAUUGACAGAUUGAGAGCUCUUUCUCGAUUCGGUGGGUGGUGGUGCAUGGCCGUUCUUAGUUGGUGGAGUGAUUUGUCUGGUUAAUUCCGAUAACGAACGAGACUCUGUCCUGCUAAAUAGUAAGCUGAUUACUUUGUCAGCUUGUCUUCUUAGAGGGACUGGCGGAUUUAAACCGCACGA